rnacentral:rRNA from 1 species
AUUCUGUUGGAAAAUAUUGAAUAUGGAAUUUGGAAGAUUGUCCAAGGUUUUUUAGUUUUUAAAAUAUUAAAAUUCCAAUUUUUAUAAGCGAUUAUUUUUUAGGUUGUUUUAUGAUUUUGAAAUAUUUCAAUUCGUUUUAUUUUGAAAAUUUUCACUUGUACUUUAAAAAAACAAAAUAUAAUUUUCUCCAAGGAUUUUCUCGGUUAGAAGUUGGUUUAUGGAUUUGAUAUUUUUUAUUGUUAAUUUUAAUGAAUUGUUUGCAGAUCCAAANCUACUGCGAAAGCAUUUGCCAAGAAUGUUUUCAUUAAUCAAGAACGAAAGUCAGAGGAUCGAAGACGAUCAGAUACCGUCCUAGUUCUGACCAUAAACUAUGCCAACUGACAGUUAGUAAAGAUGAAUUAUUUCUUCUUACUAGAAGUCACCGGGAAACCAAAGUCUUUGGGUUCCGGGGGAAGUAUGGUUGCAAAGCUGAAACUUAAAGGAAUUGACGGAAGGGCACCACAAGGAGUGAAGCCUGCGGCUUAUUUUGACUCAACACGGGAAAUCUCACCCGGUCCGGACACUGUGAAGAUUGACAGAUUGAUAGCUCUUUCUUGAUUCGGUGGGUGGUGGUGCAUGGCUGUUCUUAGUUCNAUUAAUCAAGAACGAAAGUCAGAGGAUCGAAGACGAUCAGAUACCGUCCUAGUUCUGACCAUAAACUAUGCCAACUGACAGUUAGUAAAGAUGAAUUAUUUCUUCUUACUAGAAGUCACCGGGAAACCAAAGUCUUUGGGUUCCGGGGGAAGUAUGGUUGCAAAGCUGAAACUUAAAGGAAUUGACGGAAGGGCACCACAAGGAGUGGAGCCUGCGGCUUAAUUUGACUCAACACGGGAAAUCUCACCCGGUCCGGACACUGUGAGGAUUGACAGAUUGAUAGCUCUUUCUUGAUUCGGUGGGUGGUGGUGCAUGGCCGUUCUUAGUUGGUGGAGCGAUUUGUCAGGUUAAUUCCGAUAACGAACGAGACUCUGACUUACUAAAUAGUGAAUUUAUAUUCAAUUGUAAAUUCUCACUUCUUAGAAGAAUAAAUAGCGUUUAGGUAUAUGAAAUAGAGCAAUAACAGGUUUGUGAUGCCCUUAGAUGUUCGGGGCCGCACGCGCGCUACAAUGGCAGUACUAACAAGUUUUUCUAACUAAAAAUAGUCGGGUAAUCUCUUAAAACACUGUCGUAUCAGGGAUUGUGAAUUGAAAUUAUUUCACAUGAACGAGGAAUUCCUAGUAAGCGCAAGUCACUAGCUUGCGCUGAUUACGUCCCUGCCCUUUGUACACACCGCCCGUCGCUACUACCGAUUGAAUGGUUUAGUGAGAUUGUUGGAUUCUGAUCUAAGAAAUGGCAACAUUUCUAUGAAUGGGAAAAGACACUCAAACUUGAUCAUUUAGAGGAAGUAAAAGUCGUAACAAGGUUUCCGUAGGUGAACCUGCGGAAG